rnacentral:rRNA from 1 species
ACGAACGCUGGCGGCGUGCUUAACACAUGCAAGUCGAACGGUGAAGGGAUCAGCUUGCUGGUUCUGGAUGAGUGGCGAACGGGUGAGUAACACGUGAGUAACCUGCCCCCUUCUUCUGGAUAACCGCAUGAAAGUGUGGCUAAUACGGGAUAUUCUGGGUCUGUCGCAUGAUGGGUCUGGGAAAGAUAUUGUUUCGGUGGGGGAUGGGCUCGCGGCCUAUCAGCUUGUUGGUGGGGUGAUGGCCUACCAAGGCGGUGACGGGUAGCCGGCCUGAGAGGGUGGACGGUCACACUGGGACUGAGACACGGCCCAGACUCCUACGGGAGGCAGCAGUGGGGAAUAUUGCACAAUGGGCGCAAGCCUGAUGCAGCGACGCCGCGUGAGGGAUGGAGGCCUUCGGGUUGUAAACCUCUUUCGCCAGUGAAGCAGGCCUGCUCCUUGUGGGUGGGUUGACGGUAGCUGGAGAAGAAGCGCCGGCUAACUACGUG